GGGUCCGUAGCUCAGUUGGUUAGAGUACUACCUUGACAUGGUAGAGGUCGGCGAUUCGAGUUCGCCCGGACCCA
rnacentral:tRNA from 1 species